GAAGCCUGCUGACUUGCACCUGAAAUAUAAUUCCUGUUUCGCAAUGGUGAUGCUGUAUGAACGUUUUUUCCUAACUGUUCUGUGGCCAUUAUUCGAAGUUCCCUCGAAAGAUGUACCGUCGCCAACUCAAAAGAGCGCCAAAAAAAAAAAGAAAGUAAGCACGACACAAAUGUUGUAUGCAGGCUGUUCACAGUGCUUCUGACAUUUCCUCGUACAGGCUCUACUUUUCUCGUCCAUUGGCGCUAGUGCGGUCAGGCUGGCUGCGUCGACGUCCGGCACAGGAUUGUCAGUUAUCGGCGCGAAGAAAACGGCGAGCAUUGAAUUGAUCUCGGUUGCGUUAUCGCUACUCUCGACAGAAGUCUUCGUAACGUGGCCGGCUUUAUUUGUAAUGCAGUUGCGGCACAGCCAUUUCAUCAGUGGGCCCAGCGCAAUUGCUGUAUGCAGGCUGUUCCCCAACGCGUCUGCUUCUUCUUGUACAGUGGUACAGUCUAGAAGUCCGCGCGUGGCCUCCAAGACCAUAAGUUUGACGCAGCGAUGCCUCCGAGCAGUGACGCAUUUCUCGGGAUUAGCGCCAACUGUUAUAGCUCUUCGAGACGCACCAUUCUGUAGCGCAAGAGCUUCGCGGCGUCUGCAGGUUUGUGAUGGCUGGAGUGGAGCGUUCGGUGAGCAAAGAUUUCCUCUCCUCCCAUUAUCCUCUCCCCUGUGUCGGUUGAGGAAGAGUGAUCCAGCGGUGUAAAAAAAAAAUGAAAAGAAAAGAUGGCAGCCGACUUCCACGCAGGGGCUCGCGCCACUGGAAGCAACACACAUAUGACAAAUUAGCUCAUACCUAUAGCCAUCUAUACCACCAAUACAUUUGUUAUGGUCAACAACUCUGCUUUCUAGAGUAUUAAUACCACUUAAAAAAAAAUAAAGAAAGCUCUGUCAAAAUAUUCUCACUGCUACAAAGCUAGACCUUUAGACGGAUCAUUCCUUUAAUGAAGCGAAAACUUUCUACAAUCGUUCAGCUAUCGCUUGCAUUGGCAAUAAUGGUCGAUGGUUUCCGCACAUCUUAUUUUUCGGUUCAUUACCGGAGUGAAAAAAAAAAAAGUGUCGAUUUCAGGUUGAGUACCGGUUGGGGCAAAAAUGUAGUUUCUUUUUUAUUUUGCUUUGCUUUUAGUUCAGUUCCGACACCCUGGCACAGAAGCAGGCGUACUUGAUGAUGGCGUCAUAGGUGAUCCCCGUCGCAAAGCAUCUGCAACACAAAGAUGUAAACAAUUUUGUGAGGAAGUGCAAGGCUACAAAUGUUUGCGGAAAGCGCAAGGUAUACUUAUGCACUGAAGGCAAAAGUGACUUUCUUUCAUCAUAGCCAGGAGUAAUAUAACCUACAUCAAACCUUCCUAUCAUUUUUAUUUUGUCUACGGUC